UCAGAGCGAACGCUGGCGGCAGGCUAAUACAUGCAAGUCGAACGGCCGUAGCAAUACGGCAGUGGCAGACGGGUGAGUAACACGUGGGAAUGUACCUCUCGGUUCGGAAUAACCCAGGGAAACUUGGGCUAAUACCGGAUACGCCCUUACGGGGAAAGAUUUAUCGCCGAGAGAUCAGCCCGCGUCCGAUUAGCUAGUUGGUGGGGUAAUGGCCCACCAAGGCGACGAUCGGUAGCUGGUCUGAGAGGAUGAUCAGCCACACUGGGACUGAGAUACGGCCCAGACUCCUACGGGGGGCAGCAGUCUAGAGGCUUCGGCAAUGGGGGCAACCCUGACCGAGCGACGCCGCGUGUGGGAUUGAAGGCCUUCGGGUCGUAAACCACUGUCAUGAGGGAAGAAUACCGGAAUGGCGAAUUCCGGGGCGACGGUACCUCAGGAGGAAGCCCCGGCUAACUCCGUGCCAGCAGCCGCGGUAAUACGGAGGGGGCAAGCGUUGUUCGGAUUUACUGGGCGUAAAGGGUGUGUAGGCGGUUGCGCAAGUCUGGUGUGAAAUCUUCACCGCUUAACGGGAAGAGGUCACUGGAAACUGCGUAACUCGAGUGUGGUAGAGGCAAGCGGAAUUCCUGGUGUAGCGGUGGAAUGUGUAGAUAUCAGGAAGAACACCUGUGGCGAAGGCGGCUUGCUGGGCCAUCACUGACGCUGAGACACGAAAGCGUGGGGAGCAAACGGGAUUAGAUACCCCGGUAGUCCACGCUGUAAACGGUGCGCACUAGGUGUGGGAGGUAUCGACCCCUCC
rnacentral:rRNA from 1 species